rnacentral:rRNA from 1 species
UACGUAGGGGGCAAGCGUUGUCCGGAUUUAUUGGGCGUAAAGAGCGUGUAGGCGGCCACACAGGUCAGCUGUGAAAACUCGAGGCUCAACCUCGAGACGUCGGUUGAAACCGUAUGGCUAGACGUCCGGAAGAGGAGAGUGGAAUUCCCGGUGUAGCGGUGAAAUGCGCAGAUAUCGGGAAGAACACCCGUGGCGAAGGCGGCUCUCUGGGACGGUACUGACGCUGAGACGGCGAAAGCGUGGGGAGCCGAACAGG